rnacentral:lncRNA from 1 species
CCAGGGCCUCAUCCUGUUCCUCGCGCUGCCUCCUCCGAGACACCAGCCCUCUGGCGGAGGGGCGGCGGGGGCAGCGAGCUCGGGUCGAGUCGGGGACUCCGGCGGCGCGCGCGGGCGGUGGGGGGAAGGAGGGGCAGGGACGUGAGGGGCUUCCCCCACCCCGGCCGCUGGCAACACGCCGCGCACGGCCGGCACCCGCUGCGCUCCCGCGGCUCUGACGAACCUUCCCAACUCGGGGACUGCGCCCCAGGGACCCUGGCCUGGGCGGGCCAGCGGGACUGGCUUCCCCCGCUCCAGCCUUCCCGUGCCGGGGACGGAGACGCAGAAGCUGGGGACCUGCUCACCCCCAAACAAAGGGUCCCUGCCAAGACCCCGUCCCGGGUCCCCCCGGGUUCUCCCCUCCCCCAGCUCCAGGGAUUUGAACGCAAACAAAGCGGCGGCGCGGGGAGCGUGGCGAGCCCGGCCUGCGGACGCCCCCUGUCGGCCCAGAGCCCCGGCGCGGGAGGGUGGGGGGCGGGGGCUGCGCCCCAGCCCAGCCCCGCAAAACGCCCCCGGCCCCAUCUCGGCUCCUUACCCGAGGAUCGGGCUGCACCCCGCGGCGUGCUCCGAGGAUCCGCCCGGCAGCGGUGCGCCCACCCGCAGCUCCCCCAGGGCGAGCAAACGGGCAGCCAGGGGGAGGGGGCUGGGAGGAGGGGUGCUGGCUCCAGGCGGGGCGCCCCACACCCUCGCCCACCCCGAGCGGCCAGACGUGGACCGCGGCGCUCCCUGCAGGGCGAGCGCUCCAGCCGGGGACAGCGCGGCCCGGCUCGGCCCGGGGGCCUGGCUUUCCGGGACAACCCGCCUCCCCAGCGGAACGGGCGGGCGGGCGGGCGGGGGGCCGCGGCAGGGAAAUCCGAUCCCACAACAUCGGCCUCGCUCCAAGCCCGCCCCAAACUUUCCAUCGGGGGUGGGAGCGCCGAGGGCAGUCCAGGAGCCUGGCGAGGAUCCCGGCCGCGGACCGGACCGCGCGAGGAGCCCUCACUGCCCGUAGCCCCUCGCUGGCGCGUCCCUCCGGCCCCGGGGCUGCAGGCUGUAGGCGCUGUGCGUCCCGCUCCCGGGACCCUGCGAAGCGGCCGCGCGGGGCGCAGGAAGGAUCCCCGCGGACAGGAGUCUCCGCCGCCGCGGCUCCCCGCGCCCCAGCCCCUGUCCCUCCCGCAUCCGGCAGCCCCUGCCCACGCAAGGGGACAAAGCGGCGGCUCCGGGGCCCCGCAGCUCCAGCCUCUCGCAAGCCCGGCCUCGCUCACCUCUCGCACGCAGCUCCAGUCCCCGGGCGCCGCCCUCGCGUUCGGCUCCGACCGCCGUCCGCCCCUGCCCCGCGUCGCCGCCUGCCCGCGCGCGCCCGCCAGUCCUCCGCGGCCCCUCUGCCACCGCCCCUCCGUCCCCGCCCGGCUCCGCGCCCCUGGGCUCGGGCUCCCCGCGCCACCACGGCGGGCGCCGGCUCUUUCUCCAGCGCGGCCGCGGCUCUCCGCCCCCUUCCCCUUGACGUCAGGCUGGGGGGGUCGAGCGGAGGCCGGGGGCGGGCCGCGAAGCCUCGCUCGGGAGGGGGCUGCGACCCGCAGCGACCUGUGGACCCGCCCGCUCUCCGCCCGGGGGCUCGGACCUCCGCCCCUCCGGGUGCCCGGACCUCAGCCCUGCCGGGUGUCCGGCCGCCCCGGGGCUCGGAGUCGCGGGCUGCGCCACAGCGCCCGGAGGGAGGUGGGGCGGGGGAGGGACUCCGGGUCUGGCCACGGGGGACUCUCACUCACCCGGUGUUUCCGAAGUGUCCCCCGAAGACCCCCGGCGGGCUGGGCUGGGGAGAGGGACUCCCGACCCUGCAGUUGCAGGAACGACCGCGGGCGAGCCACGUCGAGGCGAGUAUCCGGGGGAGGCACGUGGGGAAACCGAGGCGUCUCUUGGGGCGGACCAGAGGGGUCUGCCUUUUGGCCCCCGAUUCUGCCUCCUUCUAGGCCCCGAGGACCACUGGUCCCUGCCCUCAAGUCUGGAAAGGGCUUCACCAGCGAGGAAGACUCUUCAAUCUACAGUAGGGGUCUGCUCCUGCUUCUCACGCUUUGGGCAAAGCGUCUCUCCCCAGAAAAUGACUCCUGGUGCCACUGGAAGGCUGAUUAA